CAUACGCGAAAUAACUUCUUGAAAUUCGAGAAGGAAGCAAAAGGUGCGAAACUAUUACCUGCAGUUCAUUUUUGUUCUCUUUCCUGCAUUAUAAAGGAGAAAAGAGAAAAUGAAGGUAAUUGGCUUCUCUUCAGAAGAGAUGAGCUAUGAGUUUUAUGCUAAAUUUCCCGAGGACAUAUUUUGGCAUAUACAAUUGUAAUAUUUUUUUUAUCCCUAUGGAAGAAAAGAAUAAAUAAUCACGAAAUAAUUAAUUCUAGAACAAUUUCUUUCCAAGCAAACGACCCCUUAGAGCGACUAAAAGAACUCUCUCAUUAAAAAAACAAACUGACCUGCUUGUCCUAAAUAGUUAUUGACCAUUUUUUCUACUUUUCUCAUCCGAACACAUUGCAGAAUGUGAAGUGUCAAUCCUGAAGUUAUUGACUAUUUUUUCUACUUUUCUCAUCCGAACACAUUGCAGAAUGUGAAGUGUCAAUCCUGGUUGAAAGGAGUUCCAAUCUUGUCCUCAAACUCCACACUGGAACACCCGGCUAAAAAAACAAGUGUACAUUAUCACUGCACCAUAAAAAUGUGAAAUUUACCACAUAGAACAAACAAUGAAGGUAAUUGGCUUCUCUUCAGAAGAGAUGAGCUAUGAGUUUUAUGCUAAAUUUAGAAUCCAUAAACUUUAAUUUCUAAUUUCACCUUUAAUAUACCAUCAUUUAUUAAUGUUUAUUACGUAGGAAAAUGAUACUGGCCAAAGAUCAUUGACCCGUAUCAUCUCUCCUGCGUAGCAAACCUAUUGAUGCUUCUCUCCCUUCACAUUUAUAGGAAAAUAUGAUAUUCUUCCUUUCUUUCGUUUCCUUGAGCAAUUUAAAGAAAUGACCACGUUUUCAAAUUAACUAUUUGUGCACUUUUCC
rnacentral:lncRNA from 1 species